GCAGCGAUGCCGCGUGAGUGAAGAAGGCCCUUGGGUUGUAAAGCUCUUUCGUCGGGGAAGAAAAUGACUGUACCCGAAUAAGAAGGUCCGGCUAACUUCGUGCCAGCAGCCGCGGUAAUACGAAGGGACCUAGCGUAGUUCGGAAUUACUGGGCUUAAAGAGUUCGUAGGUGGUUGAAAUAGUUGGUGGUGAAAUCCCAGAGCUUAACUCUGGAACUGCCAUCAAAACUUUUCAGCUAGAGUAUGAUAGAGGAAAGCAGAAUUUCUAGUGUAGAGGUGAAAUUCGUAGAUAUUAGAAAGAAUACCAAUUGCGAAGGCAGCUUUCUGGAUCAUUACUGACACUGAGGAACGAAAGCAUGGGUAGCGAAGAGGAUUAGAUACCCUCGUAGUCCAUGCCGUAAACGAUGUGUGUUAGACGUUGGAAAUUUAUUUUCAGUGUCGCAGCGAAAGCGAUAAACACACCGCCUGGGGAGUACGACCGCAAGGUUAAAACUCAAAUGAAUUGACGGGGACCCGCACAAGUAGUGGAGCAUGUGGUUUAAUUCGAAGAUACGCGCAGAACCUUACCAACACUUGACAUGUUCGUCGCGACUUUAAGAGAUUAAAGUUUUCGGUUCGGCCGGACGAAACACAGGUGCUGCAUGGCUGUCGUCAGCUCGUGUCGUGAGAUGUUGGG
rnacentral:rRNA from 1 species